rnacentral:rRNA from 1 species
UACGGAGGGUGCGAGCGUUGUCCGGAAUCACUGGGCGUAAAGGGCGCGUAGGCGGCCUGAUAAGUAGGGGGUGAAAUCCUGCGGCUUAACCGCAGGGCUGCCUUCUAAACUGUCAGGCUUGAGCACAGUAGAGGCAGGUGGAAUUCCCGGUGUAGCGGUGGAAUGCGUAGAGAUCGGGAAGGACAUCAGUGGCGAAGGCGGCCUGCUGGGCUGUUGCUGACGCUGAGGCGCGACAGCGUGGGGAGCAAACAGG